UCUGGUGGCGAAGGCAUGAUGGACACACCUGUAACCAUGCCGAACACAGAAGUUAAGCAUCAUAGCGGCGAAGAUAGUGGGCAACUGCGACAAUAGCACGCUGCCAGUC
rnacentral:rRNA from 2 species